UUAGAGUUUUGGAUCUGGCUCAGGACGAACGCUGGCGGCGUGCUUAACACAUGCAAGUCGAACGAUGAAGCCCUUCGGGGUGGAUUAGUGGCGAACGGGUGAGUAACACGUGGGCAAUCUGCCCUUCACUCUGGGACAAGCCCUGGAAACGGGGUCUAAUACCGGAUAACACUCUGUCCCGCAUGGGACGGGGUUAAAAGCUCCGGCGGUGAAGGAUGAGCCCGCGGCCUAUCAGCUUGUUGGUGGGGUGAUGGCCUACCAAGGCGACGACGGGUAGCCGGCCUGAGAGGGCGACCGGCCACACUGGGACUGAGACACGGCCCAGACUCCUACGGGAGGCAGCAGUGGGGAAUAUUGCACAAUGGGCGAAAGCCUGAUGCAGCGACGCCGCGUGAGGGAUGACGGCCUUCGGGUUGUAAACCUCUUUCAGCAGGGAAGAAGCGAAAGGAC
rnacentral:rRNA from 1 species